GUGUGUUGUACGUCCCGAUAAUUACUGCCGGUGUCGUACUGUGUAUUGUGGGGACUGAUGAACUGAAUGUAGGAACAGUUUGCGUAUUUGUACCCUAUUUAUUUUUAUGCCUUACAGUGUAAUACAUUAGUGAUGCAUACAUUUUGUUACAAUGGAACUAUUAAAAUGAUUUAUUUAAACCCCAACUCUCUAAUUAAUCUCUUAACAUCUAUUUAGAGUUUUUCAAUUAAGAUAGGAUAAUCAGAUUUUUUAUUUGUUUCUUUAUUUUUUUUGUUUAACAGAAUUGCAAACAUGAUGUAAUCUCCUCAGUAGUAUCAAGCUUGGAUAAAUGUGACAGCUGUAGUGGACCCUUUUCUGCUUUUAAAUGGCUUGGUGUGAGAUGUAAGGUUUGCUCCUGCUUCUGGCAUAAAACCUGCUACAAUAAAAAAGUGAAGUGCAAUCCUGACACCUUAACUUCGAAUUCCGAAGAACAAUUUUCCAGUGAGGACAUGCCAGAUCAGGACUAUGUACCUGAUUCUUCUUCAGACAGUUCAGAAGGGAGCAUAGUGUCUUCAGAACAACUCUCAAACUUUCAAAGUAUUAAAGUGUCUAAAGAAUCUACUGCAGAAAUUCAAAAUGGCAGACAAUGCCAAGAAAGCCUCAGUAACUGCCAAGAUUCACUGCCAAAAGAUCCAAUCUGCACAGUUGAGGAUAGCACAAGAACUGGGGAAGAUCCAUGUGUGCAGUCUUCAAAUAUAACCUCAUCAGUAAGCAAGAAGAAUUACUGCUACAUUUGUGGAAAACCACAGUCAAAGUUUGCACGUCACUUAAAAAUCCAUGAGAAAACAAAUGUGGAUGUUGCUCGAGUUUUGGCACUGCCAGAUCACUCCAAAGAACGUAAAAAAAUGCUGGACAAACUGCGGAACAAAGGGAACCUUGAACACAAUAAAGAGGUUUUAGCAAGUGGGAGGGGAUUGUUAAAACUCAG
ensembl:lncRNA